rnacentral:rRNA from 1 species
UGGGGAAUAUUGCACAAUGGAGGGAACUCUGAUGCAGCGACGCCGCGUGAACGAAGAAGGCUUUCGAGUCGUAAAGUUCUUUUAUAUGGGAAGAUAAUGACGGUACCAUAAGAAAAAGCCCCGGCUAACUACGGGCCAGCAGCCGCGGUAAUACGUAGGGGGCUAGCGUUGUCCGGAAUCACUGGGCGUAAGGGUUCGCAGGCGGAAAUGCAAGUCAGGUGUAAAAGGCAGUAGCUUAACUACUGUAAGCAUUUGAAACUGCAUAGCUUGAGUAGAGUAGAGGUAAGUGGAAUUUUUAGUGUAGCGGUGAAAUGCGUAGAUAUUAAAAAGAAUACCGGUGGCGAAGGCAACUUACUGGGCUCAUUCUGACGCUGAGGAACGAAAGCGUGGGUAGCAAACAGG